ensembl:lncRNA
AACCUCACCAUUGUUUCUUCUCCUUUACAGCAGGUUCAGGAUGUCAUAUGAAGUCAGCCUCUUCUUUUGCCCCAUCCUGCUCCCAACAUUACAGCUGGAGGUGCAGCUCAGCUUCAUGCUGGGUAGGGUGGCAGGAUCUCAGCUGGCUGUGAAAUGGACACAAGAAUGUACAAUCUAAGAAGAUAAUUUGUGCCUGGAGAAAAUAGCCCCAGAGAUAGUGUUAAGUGGGUGGAUUCUUUACUGCUGAGCCAUUGGGGAAGCACUUACUUCGGGUCAGCACUAUCGAAGCACCAUUUUUCUUUUGGGAACUCAGGUGGGUACUAUUCAGGAUUUGCUAAGCUAAUAAGCAUGAGACCAAGGGCUCAAGCAGAAUUCUU